UACGGAGGGUGCAAGCGUUACCCGGAAUCACUGGGCGUAAAGGGCGUGUAGGCGGACCCGUAAGUCCGGCUUUGAAGACCGAGGCUCAACCUCGGAACUGGGCUGGAGACUGCGGGUCUGGACCUCUGGCGAGAGAACUGGAAUUCCUGGUGGAGCGGUGGAAUGCGUAGAUCCCAGGAGGAACACCAACGGCGAAGGCAGGUUCUUGGACAGAAGGUGACGCUGAGGCGCGAAAGUGUGGGGAG
rnacentral:rRNA from 1 species